CUAACACAUGCAAGUCGAACGGGACAGCGCGGAGAGAACUUGUUUUUCUCUAGCGAGUUGAGUGGCGAACGGGUGAGUAAUGCGUAGGAAUCUACCUUUUAGAGGGGGAUAACCCGAGGAAACUCGGGCUAAUACCGCGUAGUAUCUCUUUUCAUAGAAAAGUUGAAGAAAGCGGGGGAUCCUUGAGUUUUUUUAAGGACCUCGCGCUAAAAGAUGAGCCUGCGUCGGAUUAGUUAGUUGGUGGGGUAAUAGCCCACCAAGACGAUGAUCCGUAGCUGGUCUGAGAGGAUGAUCAGCCACACUGGGACUGAGACACGGCCCAGACUCCUAUGGGAGGCAGCAGUGGGGAAUAUUGGACAAUGGGGGAAACCCUGAUCCAGCAAUGCCGCGUGUGUGAAGAAGGCCUUCGGGUUGUAAAGCACUUUCAGCAGGAAAGAAAGUCUUAAAGUUAAUACCUUUAAUGAGUUGACGUUACCUGCAGAAGAAGCACUGGCUAACUCUGUGCCAGCAGCCGCGGUAAUACAGAGAGUGCAAGCGUUAAUCGGAAUUACUGGGCGUAAAGCGCGCGUANGUGGAUAUUAAAGUCGGGUGUGAGAGCCCCGAGCUUAACUCGGGAAAUGCGUUCGAUACUGAGUAUCUACAGUAUAGUACAGGGGGAGUGGAAUUUCCGGUGUAGCGGGUGAAUGCGUAAAUAUCGGAAGGAACCCCAUGACGAGGGCGGGUUCCUGGAAUAAUACUGGACCUGAGGUGGAAAAAGCGUUGGGAGCAACCGGGAUUAAAUCCCCGGGUUUUC
rnacentral:rRNA from 1 species